AAUGAACGCUGGCGGCGUGCUUAACACAUGCAAGUCGUGCGCGAAGGUGGCUUCGGCUGCCGGAGAGCGGCGAACGGGUGAGUAACACGUGGGCAAUCUGCCUGGGGGUGUGGGAUAACCUGGGGAAACUCGGGCUAAUACCGCAUACGUUGUCGGGACCUUGGUCCUGCCAAGAAAGCUGGCCUCUGUUUACAAGCUAGCGCUCCCAGAGGAGCCCGCGGCUGAUUAGCUAGUUGGUGAGGUAAUGGCCCACCAAGGCGACGAUCGGUAGCUGGUCUGAGAGGACGAUCAGCCACACCGGAACUGAGACACGGUCCGGACUCCUACGGGAGGCAGCAGUGGGGAAUAUUGGACAAUGGGCGCAAGCCUGAUCCAGCAAUUCCGCGUGGGUGAAGAAGGCCUGG
rnacentral:rRNA from 1 species